UUGAAGCACCGAUUCCCGUACGAUCACAGAGGUUAAGCAAUGUUGAGUCAGGCGAGUACCUGGGUGACUGCUUGGGAGUACCAUGAGUUGCCAG